rnacentral:rRNA from 2 species
GGGAUUGCCCUAGUAACGGCGAGUGAAGCGGCAACAGCUCAAAUUUGAAAUCUGGCGCAAGCCCGAGUUGUAAUUUGUAGAGGAUGCUUCUGGGUAGCGACCGAUCUAAGUUCCUUGGAACAGGACGUCAUAGAGGGUGAGAAUCCCGUAUGUGACCGGCCCGCACCCUUUACGUAGCUCCUUCGACGAGUCGAGUUGUUUGGGAAUGCAGCUCUAAAUGGGAGGUAAAUUUCUUCUAAAGCUAAAUACCGGCCAGAGACCGAUAGCGCACAAGUAGAGUGAUCGAAAGAUGAAAAGUACUUUGGAAAGAGAGUUAAAAAGCACGUGAAAUUGUUGAAAGGGAAGCGCCUGCAACCAGACUUCGCGGCAGUGUUCCGCCGGUCUUCUGACCGGUUCAUUCUCUGUCGCGAGGCCAUCAUCGUCUAGGCCCGCCGGAUAAGACCUUGGGAAUGUAGCUCACCUUCGGGGGAGUGUUAUAGCCCAUGGUGAUGCGGCGAGGCUUGGGCGAGGUCCGCGCUUCGGCAAGGAUGAUGGCGUAAUGGUUGUCGGCGGCCCGUCUUGAAACACGGACCAAGGAGUCUAACAUCUAUGCGAGUGUUCGGGUGUCAAACCCCUACGCGUAAUGAAAGUGAACGGAGGUGGGAACCGCAAGGUGCACCAUCGACCGAUCCUGAUGUCCUCGGAUGGAUUUGAGUAAGAGCAUAGCUGUUGGGACCCGAAAGAUGGUGAACUAUGCCUGAAUAGGGUGAAGCCAGAGGAAACUCUGGUGGAGGCUCGCAGCGGUUCUGACGUGCAAAUCGAUCGUCAAAUUUGGGUAUAGGGGCG